rnacentral:lncRNA from 1 species
AUUGAACUCAGAGCCUUGCACUUGCAAGGCAGGUGCAGAGCCACUGAGCUAAAUCCCUGGCCUUACAUGUUCAUUUUAGAACAAUCUCAUUGCCAUAGCAUAGAGUAAGGAUGUCAGCAGGGUGAGGCUGGAAGUAGCUGAGAGAUCAGAGCAAUUGUUCAGGUGAGAGAUGAUGAGAAAUGAACUCUUAUUGUGGCAAAAGGAAUGGAGAGAAAAAUCAAAAUCAUCUUGCACAAAUGUGGUGAAGUGAUUUCAGGAGGGAUGGUGGUGUAGAAUGAAAUAGAUAUCAGGUGGCAUGUUUCUAAGCCUUUGACAUCACUCUUCCCACAGCCUAUUCUGAGCAGUUGUGGCUUCACAAAGUGAAAUGGAAUUUUCUGGAGAAAAUAAAUUUUAAAAAGCUGAAUGCACUUAUUUUGGAGGUUACCCAGUCCUUUGGAGCAAGAGGCUUUUUCUACUACCAGUCUUAUAUUCUUUCUAGAAGAUUAAAAAAAAUAAUUAAAAGAGGACUUGAGUGCUUAGAUUCUCUUGAAGGGAAAAGUGUUGGUGUCCAUUGUAAAUAUAAGUACUGGGGAUCGAACUCAGGACCUUGCACUUGUGAGGAAGGUGCCGGAACCACUCAGCUAAAUCCUCGGCUACAUCCAUCAAUCUUAAUAAAUGAUGAAUGUGACAAUUAUAAAAGGAAUGGGGGAUAGAAUCUUGUGAAAACUUUUAUCCGAGAACUUGAGAUGCAGAUUAUACUCACAAGCAAUUUGAGGACAGGAACUGUAACUUUUAUGAUCUUGUGCCCAAAACAUGGGUCCCUGCAGGAAGUAGAUUAUUUUUCCUCCGUUGACAAGACAGUGCCAGCAUAACUGAGGUCCAC